rnacentral:pre_miRNA from 1 species
GCAGUGAGGCUGGAAGCAGGGUUUUAUCGAUCCCUUCCUGCUAGUGCAUCCAGGGUUUAGAUUUUACCGCAGUUAACAGGCAUGGGUCGAUAAACCUCUGCAUCCGGCUUGUUCCCUGU